CGCUUAUAGAGAAAGGCAGAGGGACUAGACCCAAUGAAGCCUUGGCAACCUGUCUUGGAGACAAGGUGCUACAUUCUACCCCACCUAAAAAAGGGAAAGAUAAGCG
rnacentral:ncRNA from 25 species